AAAUUUAUGUAUUUUAAUUAUAUAUUUUGUACUUCUUCGGUACUAGGCCUAUUUUUCUUUUUCUUGCAAAGAGUUUGAUGAGAAUAUACUGAGGAAAGUGUUUGAACUAUACUAUGAAAAUGGGUUAUUGGAUCUAUCAUAUGCUCCAGAUGUUGGUGACUAUUUAGUCUGCGAGGAUACAAGUUUUGUACCAGGCAACAAAGAUCAGGCUCCUAUACCUGAGUGCAUGAUGGGAACUGAAGUAGAGAAGAGACUAAAUGGACAGGGUCUUGCACUAUUUAUUGGAUGCUAUAAUGGCACAAGGUGCUGUCGAGCCUGCUCUGAAUGGUGACUCUUUGUUUGGACCGGUUGUUCCGAGGAUGAAGAGGAAGACACCAUCUGAACUGAGAAUGGCCAAUGUUGUUCCUGGUCUAUGUGUUGCAAGGAAUGUUGCUUGCAAUGUUCGUGGUGGGGUUUUCAGAGUUUGAUGAGAAUCUACUGAGGAAAGUGUUUGAACUAUACUAUGAAAAUGGGUUAUUGGAUCUAUCAUAUGCUCCAGAUGUUGGUGACUAUUUAGUUUGCGAGGAUACCAGUUUUGUACCAGGCAACAAAGAUCAGGCUCCUAUACCUGAGGGCAUGAUGGGAACUGAAGUAGAGAAGAGACUAAAUGGACAAGUGAAUUUUUAUAUCUUCGUGUUACUUGGAUCUAACAAGAGUAUGCAGGCAAAAAUGCCCUAUUCCUUGGAAUAUAUUAGCCAACGCCGUUUAAAUUACAACAUAUGGUUCAUGCAGUCUGCUUUUAGCCAUUUAUAACUAUAUGCCUUUUUACUACAUUGCUCUUCUUGAGAAUGGAUCUGCACUGUAUGAAGUUUAGAGACCAAUGCUUAUGAUUAAUCUCUUAAUGUUCGAAAUAAACUUCAAGAAUAUGAGUGAUCAAUUAUUUUUCUUACCAGUCAUAUCGGUGGGAGCAAAGGGAAAGCCAACAAAUGUCAUCCUCAAACCGUUCACCAGAUACCUCUCAAUUUCAUAAAUUUGGUGCCUGUAGUUGAUGGAUACUCUUAUCCACAUCUGACAUAGAGCAUGAAUGUAGCUGGAAGGCAUAUAACAUCUUAUCUUGUUGACCUACUCUCAAGGAAAGGGUAUGCCAUGAAUAAAUCUGCUGAUUUUGAGACUGUCAGAGAAAUAAAAGAGAAACUGUUCUAUAUAAGCUAGGACUUGAGACCACAAUCCAUGUGAAAAGUUACACUCUUCCAGAUGGAAGAGUUAUUAAAGUAGGCUCCUGAAGCUCUUUUCACUCAUAAAGAAGCAACUCAUGAAACCUACCAAGAAUGAGACGAUUAAGUUAAGAGCGUAUAGAGGUACAUAUUUACUAUUUGAAGGCUAUAAUUGCAAAAGAGAAAGAGUGUUGU